rnacentral:rRNA from 1 species
CGUCUGAUUAGCUAGUUGGAGGGGUAACGGCCCAACAAGGCGACGAUCAGUAGCCCGGUCUGAGAGGAUGAACGGCCACAUUGGGGACUGAGACACGGCCCAGACUCCUACGGGAGGCAGCAGUGGGGAAUCUUCCGCAAUGGACGAAAGUCUGACGGAGCAACGCCGCGUGAGUGAAGACGGUCUUCGGAUUGUAAAGCUCUGUUAUACGGGACGAACGGCAAGGUGGUAAAUAGCCAUCAUGAGUGACGGUACCGUAAGAGAAAGCCACGGCUAACUACGUGCCAGCAGCCGCGGUAAU